rnacentral:rRNA from 1 species
GUAAACGGUGGGUACUAGGUGUGGGGGACAUUCCACGUUCUCUGUGCCGUAGCUAACGCAUUAAGUACCCCGCCUGGGGAGUACGGCCGCAAGGCUAAAACUCAAAGGAAUUGACGGGGCCCCGCACAAGCGGCGGAGCAUGCGGAUUAAUUCGAUGCAACGCGAAGAACCUUACCUGGGUUUGACAUAUAUCGGAAACGUUCAGAGAUGGGCGCCCCGUAAGGUCGGUAUACAGGUGGUGCAUGGCUGUCGUCAGCUCGUGUCGUGAGAUGUUGGGUUAAGUCCCGCAACGAGCGCAACCCUCGUCCAAUGUUGCCAGCGGGUUAUGCCGGGGACUCAUUGGAGACCGCCGGGGUCAACUCGGAGGAAGGUGGGGAUGACGUCAAGUCAUCAUGCCCCUUAUGUCCAGGGCUUCACGCAUGCUACAAUGGCCGGUACAAAGAGUUGCGAGCCUGUGAGGGUGAGCGAAUCUCAAAAAGCCGGUCUCAGUUCGGAU